rnacentral:rRNA from 1 species
UACGUAGGUGGCAAGCGUUGUCCGGAUUUACUGGGCGUAAAGAGCGCGCAGGCGGUCGGCCAAGUCGAGUGUGAAAGCCCCCGGCUCAACUGGGGAGGGUCAUUCGAUACUGGUCGACUCGAAGGCAGGAGAGGGAAGCGGAAUUCCCGGUGUAGUGGUGAAAUGCGUAGAUAUCGGGAGGAACACCAGUGGCGAAGGCGGCUUCCUGGCCUGUUCUUGACGCUGAGGCGCGGAAAGCUAGGGGAGCAAACGGGG